AGGGGCCUUGUUUUCCGAGUUUAUCAAACAGAAUCAAGGCUGAUAUUGAUAUUUCUCAUGGGGGGAAUGGCACUCACCCCCCCCGCCCCACAUUCCCAGAGACCAAGCAAUAGACAACUCCAAUGUAGGAGAAGAAAAGAAAGAGCGUGCUGCAUUAAAGGGGAAUUAGUCAGCACACGGCACUUAUUUUUAUAUGAAGCAAGUGUCUCCCACUAUUCUUUAGAAUGAAGGCUGUGAUUAUUUCCUGGGCAUGACUGGGGAUCUAUAAGGGCAGAAGAUAUGGCGGUGAAGACAUGGAGUUUUUCCACUGCCAUAUUUUGGUAUCCAUUAGCUGGCUUUGUGGAUUCCGAGUGGCAUCUGCCUCAGGAGUGGCGGCAGCACCUGAUCCAAGCUUCCUGGUCCAGGAGUGGUGCCCGAUCCCUGUGUGGGCGAUUGAAGGAAGAGGAGACUGUGCUCAC
rnacentral:lncRNA from 10 species